rnacentral:rRNA from 1 species
AAGAGACAGCAGUAGCCGCGGGAAUACGGAGGAUCCAAGCGUUAUCCGGAAUCAUUGGGUUUAAAGGGUCCGUAGGCGGUCUUGUAAGUCAGUGGUGAAAGCCCAUCGCUCAACGGUGGAACGGCCAUUGAUACUGCAGGACUUGAAUUAUUGGGAAGUAACUAGAAUAUGUAGUGUAGCGGUGAAAUGCUUAGAGAUUACAUGGAAUACCAAUUGCGAAGGCAGGUUACUACCAAUUGAUUGACGCUGAUGGACGAAAGCGUGGGUAGCGAACAGGAUUAGAGACCCCCGUAGUCCCUGUCUCUUAUAC